GUGCAGCAGUCGCGAAAACUUCGCAAUGCGCGAAAGCGUGACGAGGUCAGCCCGAGUGCUAUCCGCUGAGGAUAGCUUUUCUUUGGUGUAAGGAGCCAAAGGAAUAAGAGGAGGGUAAGUCUGGUGUCAGCCGCCGCGGUAAUACCAGCUUCUCGAGUGGUGGGGGCGAUUAUUGGGCCUAAAGCGUCCGUAGCCCGCUUGUUAAGUCCUCCGUUAAAUCCGACGAUUCAAUCGUUGGGCCGCGGAGGAUACUGUCAAGCUAGGGGGCGGAAGAGGCUGACGGUAUUCUCAGGGUAGGGGUGAAAUCCUAUAAUCCUGGGAGGACCACCAGUGGCGAAGGCGGUCAGCUAGAACGCGCCCGACGGUGAGGGACGAAAGCUGGGGGAGCAAACCGGAUUAGAUACCCGGGUAGUCC
rnacentral:rRNA from 1 species